UACGUAGGGAGCAAGCGUUGUCCGGAUUUACUGGGUGUAAAGGGUGCGUAGGCGGCCCUGCAAGUCAGAAGUGAAAUCCAUGGGCUUAACCCGUGAACUGCUUUUGAAACUGUAGGGCUUGAGUGAAGUAGAGGCAGGCGGAAUUCCCGGUGUAGCGGUGAAAUGCGUAGAGAUCGGGAGGAACACCAGUGGCGAAGGCGGCUCUCUGGUCUGUAACUGACGCUGAGGCUCGAAAGCAUGGGUAGCGAACAGG
rnacentral:rRNA from 1 species